rnacentral:lncRNA from 1 species
UCUCAUAACUCAUUCUUGAUAUAUCAAUAUUAGUUCAAAGAAACGUUAGAAUGAGAAGCAGAUUCGUUUCCAAUUUCAAAGAAUCCAAAGUAAAGAAUUCGUUUUAAAUCAUUUGGAAAGGUAACAUUAGUCAUUCCAAAAAGCAAGAAUGUCUCCCUUUCUUGAUUUGGAAAAAUUCAAGAACAGAACUUAAGAAAUUCGUUCAUCACUUCAAAAUUUCGUUCAAGAAUUGCGAAGAAGCAGGAGCUAAUUUCGUCAAAAAUUUCAAAAAGCAGAAGCUUAAUCCGAUUUUUGGGUUCUAAGUCCAGUCCACGAAGGUUUCCAAAGGAAUAUUAUAUGGAGUUUUCCCUACUCCAGGUAUGUUAAGGUCACCCCUUCUUUCUUUUGGCAUGGUCCAAAUUAUACUGAAGAAGUAAGCAAAUACACAAAUUCCACAAAUUACUCUAUUCAUAGAAAUACUAGGGGUGUCUAUAUUCUUGAUUCCCGAUGUGAAUUAUUAUCAUCUUAUAUUCAUGGGUCUCAGAAUAAUAUGCAAUUGAAAAAGUUUAUCCGGAAGGAAUAUUUAGAUUUUUACGUAUUUUUCAUGCAUUUCACCAAUUUAUACAUGUGCAUUGACUCGUGACCAGAUGACGUUAUAUACACAUAUAUAUAUGUAAAUAUAUGUAUAUGGGAUAUGGGGAAAGGUUACGGCAUUAUAUACGCACCACAACCUGAUCAGAGUAUAUUUUGUUGAUGUUUCCCACAGUGUCCGAGACGAUAUAAUGGGAUGCCCUUAGUGGCUUGAUGAUAUAAUGUACACCCAUACCUAUGCAUGGCACGACAUUUAUACGCACAUGCGUGACAUUAUAAAUGUUUUAGAAUUUACAAAGUUAUUCAGAUUUAAAGAUGUGUUUUUAUAUUCCAUGUUUCAUCUACGUAUUUUACGUACUAAUUUUCAUGCCUUACAUACUCAGUACAUUUUUCGUACUGACAACCUAUUUCACGGGGCCUGCGUUUUAUGCCUGUAGGUGCAGGUAGGCAAGCUGAUGGUCCCCCUUCUUAGGAUUCUUGAUCUGCGAGAGAUAGCGUGCUCCACUAUAUCUGGAGUUGUUUUUUUUAUUUUGGUACGAUAUGUUCGUAUAUAUAUAUGGGCAUGAUGUGGCACAGUCCCGUUUUUGUACAAUUAUAUUUCUAUUAGAGGUCUGUAGACAGUAUGUCUAGUUGGAUAGUAUGUGGCCUUGUCGGCUUCCAGUUUUGAGAUGUAUAAUUAUCUAUAGCAGCCUUGUCGGCUUGCCCUACGUAUGUUGCAC